rnacentral:rRNA from 1 species
GAUGAACGCUGGCGGCGUGCCUAACACAUGCAAGUCGAACGGACUAAACUGAAACCUAGUGAUGUUUAGUUAGUGGCGGACGGGUGAGUAACGCGUGGGUAACCUGCCUCACACUGGGGGAUAACAGUUAGAAAUGACUGCUAAUACCGCAUAAGCGCACAGUACCGCAUGGUACCGUGUGAAAAAGCCGAGACGGUAUGAGAUGGACCCGCGUCUGAUUAGCUAGUUGGUGGGUAACGGCCCGACCAAGGCGACGAUCAGUAGCCGACCUGACGAGGUGACCGGCCACGACUUGGGACUGAGACACGGCCCAAA